rnacentral:lncRNA from 1 species
GAUGUAGCCAGUGGUAAAGAGUCCCUGAGUUUAAUGUCCUCUACUAAAAGAAAUUUUUUUAAAUGAACAAAUAAAUGGAUACAUGAGUUCUACAGAAUGAAUGAACACAUGAAUGAAUUAACUUAGCAGGACAAAUAGGAUUUCCUGGGAUGGAGGGAAAAAGAGAAGUGUGGGAACAGGGUCAGUGCCUCCUGGGCGGUCCAGGUUAUGCCACGUUGCUGAGGGCAGGUGACAAGCUACAGGAGAUCCCUGUUUAUGAGCCUCACUGCCCCUCUCCAGCAAGGAAGGGAGAGGGAGGAGGGAGAAGGCUGGCUUCAGCCAGGCCCUUCUGAUUUGUUUACUAACACUACAGUUCUGGGUCAUGACAGCAGUAGCAUCUGAUCCAGCUAAAUAUAUCUGCUCUGCUGGCUUGGACCACACAGCUGGCCCCUGAAGGUCACACAGACCAGGGACCACCCCACUCAUCCCUUGGGGUUGGGCCCUGGGUCUUGUCCUGACCCCAGAGUCCUGUGUCCCCAGGGUACAAAUGGUUACUUUAAGUCCAAACAAAGCUGCAAUUACUGGAUGAUUCCAUGUGGAUAGUUUCAUCCUGGACAGAAUCAGAGGAUGUCAGGGAGGAAACCCUAACUGUCCAGCUGUAGGACAACAAAAUGGGUCAUCUCUCUUUGUGAGCAUAUUUGCAUUAUUUAUGAAUGUCAAGAGAAUAUUUUACUCUUGGUCAAUGUUAUUACUGUAUAAUGUCUAGUGAAAAGAGCACAAGAAUUAGGUACAGUGUGAGUGCUAUCAUGUCCUUUAAAAAGCAUAGAAAUAGGGCUGGGGUUAUCGCUCAGUGGUAGAGCACUUGCCUAGCAUGUGUGAGGCACUGGGUUUGAUUCUCAGCUCUGUAUAUAAAUAACUAAAUAAAAUAAAGGUCUAUCAACAAAUAAAAAUACAUCUAAAAAAAGUAUAGAAAUAUAUGUGGAAGGAAUCACAAGAAACUGUCAACACAGUUUACCUCCCAGGAGGGGAACUGGGGAUCAGAGGAUAGGAAGGGAGAGAGAUUUUUCUCCUCUCAUGCCUUUUCAUGUUUUGAUUUUUUUCCCCCUUGGUACUGGAAAUUGAACCCAGGGGCACUUUACUGCUGAGCUAUAUUCCCAGCAUUUUUUAUUUUUUAAGAC